rnacentral:rRNA from 1 species
CUCCCACGUCCAAGGAUGGCAGCAGGCGCGAAAAUUGUCCACUCUUUUGAGAGGAGACAGUUAUGAAACGUGAGUAGAAGGGUCGAGUGUAAAAACCUUGACGUGAAGCAAUUGGAGGGCAAGUUUUGGUGCCAGCAGCCGCGGUAAUUCCAACUCCAAGAGUGUCUAUGGUGGAUGCUGCAGUUAAAGGGUCCGUAGUCGUAGAUGCAAUUAAAAGGUGGUGUUAAAAGCCAUUGAGUUUGUUGAGAGUAGCGGAACGGAUAGGGAGCAUGGUAUAGGUGGGCAAAGAAUGAAAUCUCAAGACCCCACCUGGACCAACGGAGGCGAAAGCGAUGCUCUUAGACGUAUCUGGGGAUCAAGGACGAAGGCUAGAGUAUCGAAAGUGAUUAGACACCGCUGUAGUUCUAGCAGUAAACUAUGCCGACAAUGCUGGGUGUUGCGAGAGCGAUGCUUGGUGUGGGAGAAAUCUUAGUUUUCGGGCUCUGGGGAUAGUACGC